UACGGAGGGUGCAAGCGUUAUCCGGAUUCACUGGGUUUAAAGGGAGCGUAGGUGGGUUGGUAAGUCAGUGGUGAAAUCCCCGAGCUUAACUUGGGAACUGCCAUUGAUACUAUCAAUCUUGAAUACUGUGGAGGUAAGCGGAAUAUAUCAUGUAGCGGUGAAAUGCUUAGAUAUGACAUAGAACACCGAUAGCGGAGGCAGCUUACUACGCGAUUAUUGACACUGAGGCACGAAAGCGUGGGGAUCAAACAGG
rnacentral:rRNA from 1 species